rnacentral:lncRNA from 1 species
CUUUGCUGUGCAAAAGCUUGUCAGUUUGAUUAGGUCCCAUUGAUUUAUUUUUGCUUUUAUUUCUGUUGCUUUGGGAGACUGACCUGAGUAAAUAUUCACAAGGUUGAUGUCAGAGAAUGUUUUGUGUAUGGUCUCUUCUAGGAGUUUGAUGGUGUCUUGUCUUAUAUUUAAGUCUUUUAGCCAUUUUGAGUUUAUUUUGGUGCAUGGUGUGAGGGUGUGUUCUAGUUUCAUUGAUUUGCGUGCAGCUGUCUAGGUUUCCCAGUAAUACUUGCUGAAAAUACUGUCUUUUUCCCAUUUAGUGUUCUUGCCUCCUUUGUGAAAUAUUAAUUGACCAUAGGUGUCUGGGUUAAUUUCUGGGUUCUCUAUCCUGUUCCAUUGGUCUGUCUGUCUGUUUUGGUACCAGUAGCACACCGUCUUGAUGACUGUGGCUUUGUUAUAUUGCUUGAAGUCUGGGAGACUUAUGCCUCCUGCUUGGUUUUUGUUCCUCAGAAUUGCUUUGGCAAUUCUGGGUCUUUUGUGGUUCCAUAUAAAUUUUUGGACUGUUUAUUCUAGUUCUGCAAAAAAUGUCAUGGGUAAACUGAUAGGGAUUGUAUUGACUCUGUAGAUUGCUUUGGGUAGUAUGGCCAUUUUUACAAUAUUAAUUUUCCAACCUAUGAGCAUGGAAUAUCUUUCCAUUUCUUUACAUCUUCUUUAAUUUCCUUGAUUAAUGUUUUAUAGUUCGUGGCAUAUAAGUCCUUUAUCUCCUUGGUCUGGUGUAUUCCCAGGUAUUUGACUUUUUGUGUUGCAAUUUAAAAAGGUAUUGUAUUUCUGUAUUCCUUUUCUAAUAUUAAAUUGUUAGUAUACAGAAGUACGACUGAUUUCUGAAUGUUAAGCUUACAUUUUGCUACUUUGCUGAAUUUGUUGAUCAGUUCAAGUAGUUUUGAGUCCUUAGGGUUUUCUAUAUAUAGUAUCAUUUCAUCUGCUUACAGUGACGGUUUUACCUCUUCUCUUCCUAUUUGGAUGCCUUUUAUUUCUUUUGUUUGUCUGAUUGCUGUGGCUAGGACUUCCAGUACUAUGUUUAAUAACAGAGGUGAGAGUGGACAUCCUUGUCUUGUUCCAGAUUUUAGUGGAAAGGCUUUCCUUUUUUCUCCAUUGAGUAUUAUAUUUGCUGUGGGUUUGUCAUAAAUGUCUUUGAUUAUGUUAAGGUAUGUUCCCUCUAUACCCACUUUGGUAAGAGUUUUUAUCAUGAAUGGAUGUUGGACUUUGUCAAAUGCUUUCUCUGUGUCUAUUGAGAUGAUCAUGUGGUUUUUUACUCUUCUUUUGUUAAUGUGGUGUAUGAAGUUGAUUGAUUUUUUUCUUUUUUGGUGAUAUCUUUGUCUGUUUUUGGAAUUAGGGUGAUGAUGGCAUCAUAGAAUUUCUUUGGGAGUAUUCCUUCUUCUUCGACCUUUUGAAAAAGUUUAAGGAGGAUGGGUAUAAGUUCCUCUUUGUAUGUUUUGCAGAAUUCACCUGGGAAGCCAUCUGGUCCUGGACUUUUAUUUGUAGGGAGUGUUUUUAUGACAUAUUCAAUUUCAUUUCUAGUGAUUGGUCUGUUCAGCUGACCUAUUUCUUCUUGAUUCAGUUUUGGCAGGCUGUAGGUCUCUAGAAAGUUGUCCAUUUCUUCUAGGUUGUCAAAUUUGUUGGCAUAUGAUUGUUCAUAGUAUUCUCUCAUGUUUUUUUUUUUUUUGUAUUUCUGUAGUAUCCAUUGUGACUUCGUUUUUUUUUAUUUCUUAUUUUGUUUAUUUAGGUGUUUUUUUUUUUCCUCCUCUUCUUGGUGAGUCUAGCCAGAGGUUUGUCAAUAUUGUUUACCUUUUCAAAGAACAAGCUCUUGGUUUUAUUUAUUUCUUCUACUGUUUUUUUAUCUAUAUUUUAUUGAUUUCCUCUUUGAUCUUUAUGAUUUCCUUCCUUCUGCUGACUUUAGGUUUUGUUUGUUCUCCUUUUCCUAAUUCAUUUAGGUGGUGGGUCAAUUUGUUGAUUUGAGAUUUUUUCUUCUUUUUUGAGGAAGGCCUGCAUUGCUAUGAAUUUCCCGCUGAGCACUGCUUUUGUUGCAUCCCACAUAUUUUGAGAGGUUGUGUCUUCAUUAUCAUUUGCCUUGGGGUAUUUUUUAAUUUCAUUCUUGAUUUUUUCAUUGAUCCAUUGGUUUUUUAGUAGCAUGUUGUUUAGCCUCCAUGUAGUUAGUUUUUUCUCAGUUCUUUUCCUGUGGUUGAUUUCUAGUUUCAUGCCAUUGUGAUCAGAGAAGAUACUUGAAAUAAUUUCUAUAUUCUUAAAUUUGGUGAGGUUAGCUUUGUGUCCCAGUAUGUGAUCAAUUCUUCAGAAUGUUCCAUGUGCACUUGAGAAGAAUGUAUAUUCUGAUUUUUUUUGGAUGUAAUAUCCUGAAAAUGUCAAUUAUGUGUGACUUCUAUUGUGUCCUUUAGGAUCUGUUGCCUUAUUGAUUUUCUGUCUAGAUGAUCUGUCCAUUGUUGUGAGUGGGGUGUUAAGGCUCCUACUACAAUUAUAUUCCCAUCAAUUUAUCCUUUUAUGUCUGUUAGUAUUUGUUGGAGGUAUUUGGGUGCUCCUAUAUUAGGGGCAUAUAUAUUGACGAUUGUAAUAUCCUCUUCUUGAAUGGAUCCUUUAACCAUUAAAUAGUGUCCUUCUUUGUCUUUCUUAAUGGUCUUCAUUUUAAAGUCUACUUUGAUGAGCAUUGCAGCUCCUGCUUUCCUGUCUUGUCCAUUGGCAUGAAGUAUCUUUUCCCAUCCCCUCACUUUAAUCUAUAUGUGUCCUUUGCUCUAAGGUGAGUUUCUUGUAGGCAGCAGAUUGAAGGUUUUUGCUUUUUUUAUCCAAUCUGCCACUCUGUGUCUUUUGAUUGGAGCAUUUAGUUCAUUGACAUUUAAGGUGAUUAUUGAUAGAUAUAUAUUUAUUUCCAUUUUAAACCUUGUUUUCCAGUUGAUUCUAUGUUUCUCUUUUCUUUUUUGGGUUGGAUGGUUUCCAUUUAUUUUAUGCUUGAGUAUAUUUCUUUUCAGUUUUUAUGAAUGUAAUGUUUGGUUUUGAUUUGUGGUUGCCCUUUUUUUUAAAAAAGCAUGUUAAGCCCUUCCUAUAUCUGCUAGCUUUUGCCUGAUAGUCAUAUAGGCUCAAACACAUCAUUAAAAUAAAAAAAAUCUAUAUUUUCUUACUUUCCUUCCCCAUAUUGUAUGAUUUUGAUGUCUUUUUUUCUUUUAACAUUUUUAUGUUUAGGUCUGUAUGCUGUCUUAUUUAAGUGACUGCUUUCCAGUUGUGAUUUCCUCCAUCUGAAUUCUUCUUUUUCUCUUUUUUUUCUUUUAACUUAGAGAAGUCCUUUCAGUAUUCCAUUUAGAAUGGUUUUAGCAUUGCUGUACUCUUUUAGCUUUUGUUUGUUGGAGAAAUUCUUUAUUUCCCCUUCUAAUUUAAAUGAUAUUCUUGCUGGAUACAGUAUUCUAGGUUGCAAAUUUUUUUCCUUUCAGCACUUUAAAUAUAUCUUGCCACUCCCUUUUGGCCUGUAGUGUUUCUGUAGAGAAAUCUGCUAAUAGCCUUAUGGGGCUUCCCUUAUAAUUAAUGCUUUGCUUUUCUCUUGCUGCCUUUAGAAUCCUCUCUUUAACUUUUGUCAUUUUUAUUAUAAUAUUUCUUGGUGUGGGCCUAUUUGGGUUAAUCUUGUUUGGGGCCCUCUGUCCUUACUGUAUCUUAAUAUCAGUAUGCUUUAGAUUUGGGAAGUUUUCAGCCAUAAUUUCUUCAAAUAUAUUUUCAGUCCCCUUUUCUUCUUUUCCUUCUGGAAUUCCUAUUAUGCAUACAUUGGCCCACUUUAUGUUAUCCCAUAGGUCUCUCAUAUUUCUUUCAUAUUUUUUCAUUUUGUUUUCUGUCUGCUGUCUUGAUUGGGAGAUUUCCAUUAUUUUAUCUUCCACAUCACUAAUUCAUUCCUCUGCAUUAUUAAUUCUGCUCUUUAUUGCCUUAAGCUCAGUUUGUAUCUCUGCAAAUUAAUUUUCUAGUUUUUCUUGGCUCCUUCUUGUAUUUUCUAGUUCCAUUCUAAAGGAAUCUGCAUUACUAUUAAUAUCCUUUCUUAAUUCCUUCAGAAUUUUCAAUACCUCCCUUUUGAACUCAAUGUCUGUCAGACUGCAGAGAUCUGUUAUUUCAUUGUUGACUGCCUUAGGUGAAUUUUCCUGUUCCUUUAAUUGGAAAUGGUUUCUGUGCUUCCUCAUCUUGCUUGUGUUUUUCUUUUUAUAUGAAUUUGGGGAAGCCAAACUGUAGUCUUGUAAGGCUACUUCUAUGCAAGAAUACCCCUUUAUAUUUUUGGGGGGUUACUAUUUAUUUUUGGUGUGGGAGUUUGAAUAUUUGAAUCUCUUUCUUCAGUGUGAGCAGACUGUUGUCCCCAGGAUGCUCAGUGUGUUUUCAGGGAGAAGGAGGCAAUGGGUAGGGCCAGCAGUCAGUGCAUGGUUGUUGGCCUCUCAAUACCAGCAAGGACCUGUAGGAAGGUGGCACAGGCUACUCCUAGUUGCAGGGCCCUGGGAAGUGGUAAUAAGCUCUAGGCAGAUCUUCAAGGUGACCAGAGCAUUUGGCAGUAGCAACAGCAGUGUGCGUGAGUUCCCAGGGGAGUGAGAGCAACAACAGCUUGUGUUCAAUUGCAAUGCCCUCCUCUGAGGUGAUUGGAACCACAAGUGGUGCCUGUUCAGGGACCCCUAUUGGGAGCAGCCCAUGACCAUCUCUAGAGUCAAUUAUAACUGUGGUGGUUUGCUCCCGCCCCCUGUAGACUAUGCAUGAAGCAACCCGUCUCACUUAGCCCACAUAUGAAGUGUUGUAAAGGGUGCUCCUAGUUGCAGGAUUCUGGGACAUGACAGAGAUCAGGCGUGUGGGUACUGCCCAGAACGUUUGGCAGUGGCAGCAGCAGGGCUGGUGUGUCCCCGGAGGUGCGAGAGCACCAACAGGUGGUGUUUGGUCACAAU